rnacentral:rRNA from 1 species
AGUGAACGCAGGCGGUAGGCCUAACACAUGCAAGUCGAACGGCAGCACAGGAGAGCUUGCUCUCUGGGUGGCGAGUGGCGGACGGGUGAGGAAUACAUCGGAAUCUACUCUGUCGUGGGGGAUAACGUAGGGAAACUUACGCUAAUACCGCAUACGACCUACGGGUGAAAGCAGGGGACCUUCGGGCCUUGCGCGAUUGAAUGAGCCGAUGUCGGAUUAGCUAGUUGGCGGGGUUAAGGCCCACCAAGGCGACGAUCCGUAGCUGGUCUGAGAGUAUGAUCAGCCACACUGGAACUGAGACACGGUCCAGCCUCCUACGGGAGGCAGCAGUGUGGAAUAUUGGACAAUGGGCGCAAGCCUGAUCCAGCCAUACCGCGUGGGUGAAGAAGGCCUUCGGGUUGUAAAGCCCUUUUGUUGGGAAAGAAAUCCAGCUGGCUAAUACCCGGUUGGGAUGACGGUACCCAAAGGAUAAGCACCGGCUAACUUCGUGCCAGCCGCCGCCGUAA